GGGUUGUGAGGUUAAGCGACUAAGCGUACACGGUGGAUGCCCUGGCAGUCAGAGGCGAUGAAGGACGUGCUAAUCUGCGAUAAGCGUCGGUAAGGUGAUAUGAACCGUUAUAACCGGCGAUUUCCGAAUGGGGAAACCCAGUGUGAUUCGUCACACUAUCAUUAACUGAAUCCAUAGGUUAAUGAGGCGAACCGGGGGAACUGAAACAUCUAAGUACCCCGAGGAAAAGAAAUCAACCGAGAUUCCCCCAGUAGCGGCGAGCGAACGGGGAGCAGCCCAGAGCCUGAAUCAGUGUGUGUGUUAGUGGAAGCGUCUGGAAAGGCGCGCGAUACAGGGUGACAGCCCCGUACACAAAAAUGCACAUGCUGUGAGCUCGAUGAGUAGGGCGGGACACGUGGUAUCCUGUCUGAAUAUGGGGGGACCAUCCUCCAAGGCUAAAUACUCCUGACUGACCGAUAGUGAACCAGUACCGUGAGGGAAAGGCGAAAAGAACCCCGGCGAGGGGAGUGAAAAAGAACCUGAAACCGUGUACGUACAAGCAGUGGGAGCACGCUUAGGCGUGUGACUGCGUACCUUUUGUAUAAUGGGUCAGCGACUUAUAUUCUGUAGCAAGGUUAACCGAAUAGGGGAGCCGAAGGGAAACCGAGUCUUAACUGGGCGUUAAGUUGCAGGGUAUAGACCCGAAACCCGGUGAUCUAGCCAUGGGCAGGUUGAAGGUUGGGUAACACUAACUGGAGGACCGAACCGACUAAUGUUGAAAAAUUAGCGGAUGACUUGUGGCUGGGGGUGAAAGGCCAAUCAAACCGGGAGAUAGCUGGUUCUCCCCGAAAGCUAUUUAGGUAGCGCCUCGUGAAUUCAUCUCCGGGGGUAGAGCACUGUUUCGGCAAGGGGGUCAUCCCGACUUACCAACCCGAUGCAAACUGCGAAUACCGGAGAAUGUUAUCACGGGAGACACACGGCGGGUGCUAACGUCCGUCGUGAAGAGGGAAACAACCCAGACCGCCAGCUAAGGUCCCAAAGUCAUGGUUAAGUGGGAAACGAUGUGGGAAGGCCCAGACAGCCAGGAUGUUGGCUUAGAAGCAGCCAUCAUUUAAAGAAAGCGUAAUAGCUCACUGGUCGAGUCGGCCUGCGCGGAAGAUGUAACGGGGCUAAACCAUGCACCGAAGCUGCGGCAGCGACGCUUAUGCGUUGUUGGGUAGGGGAGCGUUCUGUAAGCCUGUGAAGGUGUACUGUGAGGUAUGCUGGAGGUAUCAGAAGUGCGAAUGCUGACAUAAGUAACGAUAAAGCGGGUGAAAAGCCCGCUCGCCGGAAGACCAAGGGUUCCUGUCCAACGUUAAUCGGGGCAGGGUGAGUCGACCCCUAAGGCGAGGCCGAAAGGCGUAGUCGAUGGGAAACAGGUUAAUAUUCCUGUACUUGGUGUUACUGCGAAGGGGGGACGGAGAAGGCUAUGUUGGCCGGGCGACGGUUGUCCCGGUUUAAGCGUGUAGGCUGGUUUUCCAGGCAAAUCCGGAAAAUCAAGGCUGAGGCGUGAUGACGAGGCACUACGGUGCUGAAGCAACAAAUGCCCUGCUUCCAGGAAAAGCCUCUAAGCAUCAGGUAACAUCAAAUCGUACCCCAAACCGACACAGGUGGUCAGGUAGAGAAUACCAAGGCGCUUGAGAGAACUCGGGUGAAGGAACUAGGCAAAAUGGUGCCGUAACUUCGGGAGAAGGCACGCUGAUAUGUAGGUGAAGUCCCUCGCGGAUGGAGCUGAAAUCAGUCGAAGAUACCAGCUGGCUGCAACUGUUUAUUAAAAACACAGCACUGUGCAAACACGAAAGUGGACGUAUACGGUGUGACGCCUGCCCGGUGCCGGAAGGUUAAUUGAUGGGGUCAGCGCAAGCGAAGCUCUUGAUCGAAGCCCCGGUAAACGGCGGCCGUAACUAUAACGGUCCUAAGGUAGCGAAAUUCCUUGUCGGGUAAGUUCCGACCUGCACGAAUGGCGUAAUGAUGGCCAGGCUGUCUCCACCCGAGACUCAGUGAAAUUGAACUCGCUGUGAAGAUGCAGUGUACCCGCGGCAAGACGGAAAGACCCCGUGAACCUUUACUAUAGCUUGACACUGAACAUUGAGCCUUGAUGUGUAGGAUAGGUGGGAGGCUUUGAAGUGUGGACGCCAGUCUGCAUGGAGCCGACCUUGAAAUACCACCCUUUAAUGUUUGAUGUUCUAACGUUGACCCGUGAUCCGGGUUGCGGACAGUGUCUGGUGGGUAGUUUGACUGGGGCGGUCUCCUCCUAAAGAGUAACGGAGGAGCACGAAGGUUGGCUAAUCCUGGUCGGACAUCAGGAGGUUAGUGCAAUGGCAUAAGCCAGCUUGACUGCGAGCGUGACGGCGCGAGCAGGUGCGAAAGCAGGUCAUAGUGAUCCGGUGGUUCUGAAUGGAAGGGCCAUCGCUCAACGGAUAAAAGGUACUCCGGGGAUAACAGGCUGAUACCGCCCAAGAGUUCAUAUCGACGGCGGUGUUUGGCACCUCGAUGUCGGCUCAUCACAUCCUGGGGCUGAAGUAGGUCCCAAGGGUAUGGCUGUUCGCCAUUUAAAGUGGUACGCGAGCUGGGUUUAGAACGUCGUGAGACAGUUCGGUCCCUAUCUGCCGUGGGCGCUGGAGAACUGAGGGGGGCUGCUCCUAGUACGAGAGGACCGGAGUGGACGCAUCACUGGUGUUCGGGUUGUCAUGCCAAUGGCACUGCCCGGUAGCUAAAUGCGGAAGAGAUAAGUGCUGAAAGCAUCUAAGCACGAAACUUGCCCCGAGAUGAGUUCUCCCUGACUCCUUGAGAGUCCUGAAGGAACGUUGAAGACGACGACGUUGAUAGGCCGGGUGUGUAAGCGCAGCGAUGCGUUGAGCUAACCGGUACUAAUGAACCGUGAGGCUUAACCUUACAACGCCGAAGCUGUU
rnacentral:rRNA from 1 species